rfam:Rattus norvegicus chromosome 14, whole genome shotgun sequence.
GGGGACUUAGCUCAGUGGUAGAGCGCUUGCCUAGGAAGCGCAAGACCCUGGGUUUGCUCCCCAGCUCCG